CUCUGGUGGAAGCCCGCAGCGAU
rnacentral:siRNA from 1 species